CGCACGGGUGCGUAACGCGUAUAGAACCUACCUUUUACAGAGGAAUAGCCUUUAGAAAUGAAGAUUAAUGCCUCAUGGUAUUGUAGACUGGCAUCAGUUUAUAAUUAAAGAUUUAUCGGUAAAAGAUGGCUAUGCGUCCUAUUAGUUAGUUGGUAAGGUAACGGCUUACCAAGACAGCGAUAGGUAGGGGUCCUGAGAGGGAGAUCCCCCACACUGGUACUGAGACACGGACCAGACUCCUACGGGAGGCAGCAGUGAGGAAUAUUGGACAAUGGAGGAGACUCUGAUCCAGCCAUGCCGCGUGUAGGAAGAAUGCCCUAUGGGUUGUAAAC
rnacentral:rRNA from 1 species